rnacentral:rRNA from 1 species
UACAGAGGUCCCAAGCGUUGUUCGGAUUCACUGGGCGUAAAGGGUGCGCAGGUGGGUUUGCAAGUUUGAUGUGAAAGCCCCGGGCUUAACCCGGGAAUGGCAUUGAAUACUGCAGAUCUGGAGGAUUGGAGGGGGGACUGGAAUUCUUGGUGUAGCAGUGAAAUGCGUAGAGAUCAUGAAGAACACCAGUAGCGAAGGCGGUUAUCUGGCUCGAAACUGACGCUCAGGGACGAAAGCAUGGGUAGCAAACAGG